GUUGGGAGCUGGUUCAUUUCAUUGAGAAGCUCGCCCUAAAGAGGUCUCAUUGUAUCUUUGUUUUAAAGGGAGGAAGAGGAGAAAACUUUGUGACCCAUGAGACUCCUUUUGGGAGGCAGCGUGUGAGGAGGGGGACGGAGGACUUUCGAUUGGUUGAAAAAGCAAUCUCCGGAUAAAAGGGGCCUCAUGGAGGCUGACGGGCAAGCCACCAGCUAGUUAGCAUGUGAGUGUACGUGCCCAGCAUGAACCAUCGAUCCUUCUGUUCACGAACUCCAGCAGCAUCUUUUCAACUUUUAAAGCCCCUGCGCAGUUCGUGAAAUUUUUGAGGGGGGACUUAGCUGGCGGCGGCCUCAGGAAAUUCCAACCGUGGCUUACUCUUCACCCAGACCACUGCUUCAAGGAUCCUACCUCUUUCCUCCCUUUUAAUAAGGAUUCCAACAUCUCAGUUUUAAAGUUGUCGUUCUUUCCCCUCCAACGUAAUUAAUGCAGAAUGCGAAGAAAAGUAUUGAAAUAUGAAAAUGUCCGUAUGCAAUACAGUUCAUCAAGCAACAAUCAGCUGUUAAAAUGAUGUGCGAAGAAAAGAUUAAGACCCCCCCCCUCCUCUACUUACGGAAUAUGUGAUUGUGGGAGU